UGCAGUGGCGCAGUCAUAGCUCACUGCAAUGUCAAAUUCCUAGGCUCAAGCAGUCCUCCUGCCUCAGAUUUCUAAGUAGCUGGAACCACAGAUGUUUACACAUGUUUUGGGGAAAAAGCUUUUAUGGUACUACAGAUGCAGCCAUUGCAGCUUGGCAGAAUGCUACAGGAGCAGAAUAAUCAUCAGAGAUGUUCCUAAGCAAAGAAGGAAAACCAGUUCUGAAAAAAUGGCAAUGAUUAAAUAAGAAAUGAAAUAUUCUUCAAUUUAAGGAAAUUCUGACGUUUCAGUACGCUAGUGUGUGAUGUUCAGCUAUUAUAGAUGCUCCUAGCGCCAUCUGGUGAGAUAUACAAGCAAUAGCAUCAAUAUUUGACUCAUGCUUUGUAAACCCAGGAGACACUUACUCUGCAGAAAAUAGGCAGUAGAACAACCUCCACUUAUUACACUAUGAAGUUUGUCCUCAGAUACUAAGAAAAAUCACUGUGUAACCUUGAUGUGCAUGUAACAUCAUUUUAAUAAUGCAGAUAUGGAUCUCACUGAACAUUUUAAUUGUACCUUUAUCCUUGAAAUGUUU
rnacentral:lncRNA from 10 species